rnacentral:rRNA from 1 species
CCUACGGGAGGCAGCAGUAGGGAAUCUUCCGCAAUGGACGAAAGUCUGACGGAGCAACGCCGCGUGAGUGAUGAAGGCUUUCGGGUCGUAAAACUCUGUUGUAAGGGAAGAACAAGUACAGUAGUAACUGGCUGUACCUUGACGGUACCUUAUUAGAAAGCCACGGCUAACUACGUGCCAGCAGCCGCGGUAAU